rnacentral:misc_RNA from 1 species
GAUGAAGAACGUAGCGAAAUGCGAUAAGUAAUGCGAAUUGCAGAAUUUCCGUGAGUCAUCGAAUCUUUGAACGCAUAUUGCGCCCUCUGGUAUUCCGGAGGGCAUGCCUGUCCGAGCGUCAUUACUAUCUUCAAGCACAGCUUGGUUGUUGAGCCCAAUUGUCCUAUAAUGGACAGGCUUGAAAUGCAGCGGCGAUGCCAUGUUUGGUGCCCGAGUGUAUGGGGCUUUGUCACACACUUUUGUGGCCCAGCUGGCGUUAGUCUUGACCGUUAAACUAAGAUUUGACCUCGGAUCAGGUAGGGAUACCCGCUGAACUUAAGCAUAUCAAUAAGCGGAGGA